GUCUACGGCCAUGCCACCCUGAACGUGCCCAAUUCCAUUUAAUCUCAGAAGCUAAGAAGGAUUGGGCCUGGUUAGUACUUGGAUGGGAGACCAUCUAGGAAGACCAGGUACUGUAAGUG
rnacentral:rRNA from 1 species